rnacentral:rRNA from 1 species
CUACGUGCCAGCAGCCGCGGUAAUACGGAAGGUCCAGGCGUUAUCCGGAUUUAUUGGGUUUAAAGGGAGCGUAGGCUGGAGAUUAAGUGUGUUGUGAAAUGUAGACGCUCAACGUCUGAAUUGCAGCGCAUACUGGUUUCCUUGAGUACGCACAACGUUGGCGGAAUUCGUCGUGUAGCGGUGAAAUGCUUAGAUAUGACGAAGAACUCCGAUUGCGAAGGCAGCUGACGGGAGCGCAACUGACGCUUAAGCUCGAAGGUGCGGGUAUCAAACAGGAUUAGAUACCCUGGUAGUCCGCACAGUAAACGAUGGAUGCCCGCUGUUGGUACCUGGUAUCAGCGGCUAAGCGAAAGCAUUAAGCAUCCCACCUGGGGAGUACGCCGGCAACGGUGAAACUCAAAGGAAUUGACGGGGGCCCGCACAAGCGGUGGAGCAUGUGGUUUAAUUCGAUGAUACGCGAGGAACCUUACCCGGGCUUGAAUUGCAGAGGAAUUAUUUAGAGAUA